UACGGGGGGGGCAAGCGUUGUUCGGAAUUACUGGGCGUAAAGGGCGCGUAGGCGGUUGGAUAAGUCAGCUGUGAAAACCACGGGCUUAACUCGUGGCCUGCAGUUGAGACUGUCUGGCUUGAGUGCGGGAGAGGAGAGUGGAAUUCCUGGUGUAGCGGUGAAAUGCGUAGAUAUCAGGAGGAACACCGGUGGCGAAGGCGGCUCUCUGGACCACAACUGACGCUGAGGCGCGAAAGCUAGGGGAGCAAACAGG
rnacentral:rRNA from 1 species